ACGGCAAUGACUGCUGGGUGAUGCUGCCCCAGGGACCCCAUGGCCAAGUAGGCAGCGCUGUUGCCUCUCCUACCCCCCCAAGCCUGCAGUAUGUGCCACAGGAUGCCAGUGGGCCAUCCUCCCCUUGGCCCAACACCUCCUCAGCUCUAGUAAUGAUGAAAGGAUGGCAUCAGUGGUCACUUGAAGCUGGGUGGAGGUGGUGUCUGAGAAAGGCUGCCAUGGUCAGCAUGAAAGCUAGUGAUUACGUGAGCGGAGUCUCUGCAGAGAGAAGCAGUAACGCAGGCCUCGGCAGCUUCUGGCUUGUUCCAGGGCCCUCCCUGCUCCGCGGGACCACAGCACUCGAUGCCUCCCUGACCCCUGA
rnacentral:lncRNA from 1 species